GGUUGCUGGAGGGGAGGGGGGAGGGGGAUGGGGUCACUGAGUGAUGGACAUUAAGGAGGGCACUUGAUGUAAUGAGUAUUGGGGGUUAUAUGCAACCGAUAAAUCACUAAACUCUACCCCUGGAACUAAUAAUACAGUAUAUGUUAGUUAAUUGAAUUUAAAUAAAAAAUUUUUUAAAAUCUUAAAAAAGAAAACACAUUUGUGCAAAAUACUGGAGGAAUAAACCUGACACUACAGAGACUGGUCACCUACAGAAGACGGGUAAAAAAGAGUUGGACCAAAGGGAGGAAUUGGAGCAGAUUCGUGAGGAUCAGGGGGUGCCUCAUUUCUCUGGGCAUCCCUGUUUGCACAGCUCUGACUCUUAGAACCAUAGAAAUGCUUCCAGCACCCCCAAUAAAAAGUGAAAAUCAAUCAAUUAAUUGAACAAAUAGCAAUUGAACUUAACUGUUAGAGAUGAGUAUAUAACCACAGUGGAAGGAAAGAGGAAGGAAAGAACUAAGUCAACUGGGAGUCAGCAUUUCCACAGGUCAUGGAAAGGGAGGACACAACCUCACAAGCACACUGCUCUAAUCAGUGAAUCUGUUUCUCACAGACGUAGCAGUUAGCAAUUCUGCGUCUACCAGGACUGAACCGUCAAGGUCUGAUGGAAACCGAGAGCCAGCUUUCUCACAGUACGUGCUGGACACGCCCUCAGGUGACCCCUGGACCUACUCUUCCUCCCGCCGUGAUCCACUUUAGUUACCGACGGCACCAAUUACUCCCAGCUCCGGUGGAAAGCGCAUGAAUCAGGCCUGGCUAGCAGAAAUGCGCCACAGCGGUGGGUGAGCCCGGGGAUAGGACUGUGACCCCAUCAAGGCGAAUGAGAUGCAUCUGAGGCUCUUUCUGGGCCUGCAGAGAGCGAGCCUGAGACCCAUUUCCACCUGACUUCAGUCAAGCAGCACCUGAACCUGGAACUACAGCAGUGACUUCAGCCCACAAAGGGGGGAGAGGGGGGCUAGCAGAGGCAGGGCCGGGCGUGCAGGAGGUAAAGAAGGGAAGGAGAGACAGCCCUGCCUAGUGAUGAUGCCUUGAUCAAGCUCAACCCUUGGACUAUUGUGUUAGGUGCCUCUGGAUCUGCCCCAGGACUUACCACUAGGACUCCUGUAGCUCCUAACGGACCACCAGCCCCGCUGUGAGCUCUUAAGGACCGAUCAUUAUGCAUUCUGCGGGG